GACCUCACCUCCACUCCAGAGACUGUCGCCACCCUCCCCCAGCCCAGGAACGGUGCCCCCCGAUGGCUUUGCUGGAACCAACAAGCCACGCGGCUCGUUCCUUUCACACCAAGGUCAGGAGGAGACGGUGACGAAAUGUUUGGAAACCCAUCGGGCCUGCCAGGAAAGUCUGUGUGUGAUGCUGGGGGAGGACACAAGUCGCUUUCUUCCACAAAGAAAACUCUGGUUUUGGAUACGGUGCAACUAAAAAGGGUGCCGAUUGCGGAAGAAAAGAAAAAAAGAGAGAGAUGGUCCAGGCUUUUCUUCACCAGCAAGCUACAAACUACAGCAAAGAGCACAGAGCUCCAGGUCCCAGGGAGUGCAUCUGCUGAGAAACACUCCAGGAAGCAAAGCACCCUUGACAGGAUCUCAAACCCUGGCUCCCAGUGACCAUAGAAUAUGGCAUUCAAGAGGCUUCCAGGAACAGCAUCAGCUCUCUGGACUCUGCACCGAGUUAUCCCUCACUGCCCUGAGUGGUCAUCAUUCGUAUCCUCUUCUGGGGCAACCUGAGACCAUGAAGAAGCUUGCACGGGGGAAUACUGUGGUGUGUGAAUUCUAUCCCAAUAAAACUCUUACUAAAAGAU
rnacentral:lncRNA from 1 species